UUGAUGUCUGUGAGCUGGGAAGCCU
rnacentral:piRNA from 1 species